rnacentral:rRNA from 1 species
CCUACGGGGCGCAGCAGUGAGGAAUAUUGGUCAAUGGACGCAAGUCUGAACCAGCCAUGCCGCGUGCAGGAAGACGGCUCUAUGAGUUGUAAACUGCUUUUGUACGAGGGUAAACGCAGAUACGCGUAUCUGUCUGAAAGUAUCGUACGAAUAAGGAUCGGCUAACUCCGUGCCAGCAGCCGCGGUAAUACGGAGGAUUCAAGCGUUAUCCGGAUUUAUUGGGUUUAAAGGGUGCGUAGGCGGUCGGAUAAGUUAGAGGUGAAAUCCUGAGGCUCAACUUCGGAAUUGCAUCUGAUACUGGUCGGCUAGAGAGUAGUUGCGGUAGGCGGAAUGUAUGGUGUAGCGGUGAAAUGCUUAGAGAUCAUACAGAACACCGAUUGCGAAGGCAGCUUACUAAGCUACUUCUGACGUUGAGGCACGAAAGCGUGGGGAGCAAACAGGAUUAGAUACCCUUGUAGUC